rnacentral:tRNA from 1 species
GUCCGUAGCGCAAUGAAUAGCGCGUUGGACUCCUAAUCCAAAGGUGGUGGGUUCGAAUCCCACCUGGGAUG